AAUGGGGGAAACCCUGACGCAGCAACGCCGCGUGGGUGAUGAAGGUCUUCGGAUUGUAAAACCCUGUCUUUGGGGACGAUAAUGACGGUACCCAAGGAGGAAGCCACGGCUAACUACGUGCCAGCAGCCGCGGUAAUACGUAGGUGGCGAGCGUUGUCCGGAAUUACUGGGCGUAAAGAGUAUGUAGGCGGAUGCCUAAGUCAGAUGUGAAAUUCCCGGGCUUAACCUGGGCGCUGCAUUUGAAACUGGGCAUCUAGAGUGCAGGAGAGGAAAGUGGAAUUCCUAGUGUAGCGGUGAAAUGCGUAGAGAUUAGGAAGAACACCAGUGGCGAAGGCGACUUUCUGGACUGUAACUGACGCUGAGAUACGAAAGCGUGGGGAGCAAA
rnacentral:rRNA from 1 species